UGACAAUCGCAAAGCUGGAAGCAAUUUGUUGUUCUUGUAAUAGAAAAAAAAUGGUCAAAUUUUCUUUACUACUUCUACUUCUCGUAGCUAAACACAGAUUUCUGCGUAACGGUAGACGGCGCUAAGUGAAGAAAAUGAAAGUUCAAAAAUAAGGUCUCUAUUAAUGUCUCCGCACCUAUUUUUGAUAAUAAUCAAUUACCGAUCGAAAAUUACGAAAAUUUUAUAAUCAUGAUUAUUAUGUAGCAUGGAAAAAUCUCGCAUAAAACAAUAUGUACACAUAGAAUGACUGUUUUUAGUCUCAAUUACCAAUUUCGCUGUCCGAAUCACGAUUUUACUUUCCGUGUACUUGUCGUAAAAUUUAAUAAUGAAAUAUCAACGACAAAUAUUCAUGAGCAGUAUUUAAACUUUGUCGAGGUAUAAAAUACGUUCAUUCGACUGACAAUCGCAGAACUGUAGAAGCAAUUUUUGUAUAGUUUCUAAUAAAAAAAAUGUUCAAAUUUCCUUUACUAUUUGUACUCCUUGUAGCUGUCUUAAUGCUGCAAGUAAGUAUCGCUCUACCUGUUCCUGGUGCAGGAUCCACGGAGGUACAACACCGAUUUUUGCGUUUCGGCAAACGUCGCUAAGUGAUGAAAAAUUAUUUCAAUAAACAAAAAUUAAAAUAAAAAUAUAAAAAAAAAAA